CCGGGUAUCUUUGUAUUUUGAGGCGAGCUUCCAUGCAAGUCGAACGGCAGCGCGGGAGGGGGCAACCCUGACUGGCGGCGAGUGGCGAACGGGUGAGUAAUAUAUCGGAACGUGCCCUGGAGUGGGGGAUAACGCAGCGAAAGUUGCGCUAAUACCGCAUACGAUCUAAGGAUGAAAGCAGGGGACCGCAAGGCCUUGUGCUCCUGGAGCGGCCGAUAUCUGAUUAGCUAGUUGGUGGGGUAAAGGCCUACCAAGGCAUCGAUCAGUAGCUGGUCUGAGAGGACGACCAGCCACACUGGAACUGAGACACGGUCCAGACUCCUACGGGAGGCAGCAGUGGGGAAUUUUGGACAAUGGGCGCAAGCCUGAUCCAGCAAUGCCGCGUGAGUGAAGAAGGCCUUCGGGUUGUAAAGCUCUUUUGUCAGGGAAGAAACGGCAUCGCCUAAUACGAGGUGCUAAUGACGGUACCUGAAGAAUAAGCACCGGCUAACUACGUGCCAGCAGCCGCGGUAAUACGUAGGGUGCAAGCGUUAAUCGGAAUUACUGGGCGUAAAGCGUGCGCAGGCGGUUUUGUAAGAUUGUCGUGAAAUCCCCGGGCUCAACCUGGGAAUGGCGAUGAAGACUGCAAGGCUAGAAUCUGGCAGAGGGGGGUAGAAUUCCACGUGUAGCAGUGAAAUGCGUAGAGAUGUGGAGGAACACCGAUGGCGAAGGCAGCCCCCUGGGUCAAGAUUGACGCUCAUGCACGAAAGCGUGGGGAGCAAACAGGAUUAGAUACCCUGGUAGUCCACGCCCUAAACGAUGUCUACUAGUUGUCGGGGUUUUAAUUAACUUGGUAACGCAGCUAACGCGUGAAGUAGACCGCCUGGGGGAGUACGGUCGCAAGAUUAAAACUCAAAGGAAUUGACGGGGACCCGCACAGCGUUGAUA
rnacentral:rRNA from 1 species